rnacentral:piRNA from 1 species
UACUAUAUCUCCUGGGGAUGGGUGGAUGC